ACUAGUUGAAAUUCGGGUGAUUGUCUGUCUGUCUGUCCGAGCAAGCGAUAACUAAAUGAAACUUAGUACACAUAUUUCUGGGCGCUGCAAGAUGGUAUGUAUCAUAGAUGGGCGUAAUCGGAUCGCUGUCACGCCCACAAAACGCCAUUAAUGAGGGGCACAUGUGGCUUGAAAUUUGUUUAAAAUAGUGCGAAAAUUGUCGGAAUCGGACAGUAAACACGCCUACUUCCCAUUCAACAUAACUUUUAAUUCCAUCAGAUCAAUCAAGCACUAUACGAGGACAGAAAUCUUUUUGCAGAAAAUAUCGUUUAAUUGGUUACAGUGCGAAAAUGGAUGAAAACACGCCUAUUUCCCAGAUACCACCAUAUGAAAUUCGAUCUGAUUCUUUAACUUUUCACUAUGCAAAUCAAGCAACAAUGAUUGUAUCGGGGUAAAACUUUGAAUGAUGCGUUUAAAGUACGCCACCUUGUGACCAAAAAUUGUC